GAGGGUAGGCCCCUCGGAGUCGCCCUGCGGAGGGAGAUUUCAAACCACCACCUGCUGCGUUGGCUGAAGACCGUCGUGGUGAGCGAGGUGGAGAAG
rnacentral:ncRNA from 1 species